rnacentral:rRNA from 1 species
AGUAACCUGCCUUGGAGUGGGGAAUAACAGUUGGAAACAGCUGCUAAUACCGCAUAAUAUGUCUGUGUCGCAUGGCACUGGGCAUCAAAGAUUUAUCGCUCUGAGAUGGACUCGCGUCUGAUUAGCUAGUUGGCGGGGUAACGGCCCACCAAGGCGACGAUCAGUAGCCGGACUGAGAGGUUGGCCGGCCACAUUGGGACUGAGGCACGGCCCAGACUCCUACGGAAGGCAGCAG